ensembl:lncRNA
GCCCCCGCCUGUGCUGUACACCGCGGCUCAGCCCUUUAUGCAAGGCUGGGAAAGCCAGCCCCGGCACAUCCCUGGUUUCCCGCAACACCCAUUCUCCACACUAUGCUGGGAAUACACUGAUGGUCCUGGAUGCAAGGAGCCACCCCAUGACCCACUCCUGGUCAAAAGGGAAAGGGGGGAGGUCAAGUCCAACAAAAGGCCAAAAUCUAUUUCAUGGUGAAACCUCCGUUGUUUCCCAGGAUGCACCCUGCUUUUCUACCCUCUUCUGUGACCCAAAAGAUCUGGACCACCUUAGGCUCCAGGCUCCCAUCAGCAUCACAGCCCAUCAGUGUCAGGGGCAACAACUGAAAGCAAUUGAGAAGAAAGCAAAAUCUUCAUCAGGGUUCCUGGGAAAACAGCUGCAGAGAUUCCAGGUUCAUCCACCGCAAAGCUUCUCCCUACUCAUCUCUCCAUCUCUCCCCUCCCUUCCCCAAUCUCCCCUAGUCCCCAUCCCCCCAAAUAGCCUUCAGUCUCUUCUUUCUCUCUCAAAAAACCUCUCCCCCUGCCUUGCCAGAUCUGCUUCCACCCAAAGAAUCCUUCCUUUAAAAUCUCCCUACUGUGGGCUGCCUCUGCAGGCCAUUCUUAAUCCCCAUGUCAAAAGGCUGGAGAGCCUGGACGUCAGGACCGAAUUUUCCAGCUCUCCACCCUGUGACUCCCAGCUUCUCUGAUCCUGUCUGUAUUUACUGCUGUCACCCCUUAACCUGUCAGGUGUAAGCCCAUUUCCUAGUGAUGCCAAAAGACCCGAACACCUUAAUUCUGGAAACUCACCAAGGGUCAAGCGUUUACUCAGGCAUUAAAGCUGUCUGUGCUAGAGCAAUUUAGAUUUGUAUUUGCAAGGAAAACAUAACUAGUCCAGCAGACAUCCAUGUAUAGCUUUUCUCCAUUAACUCAAGCAAGCAAAAAGAAGCACCAUCAGCCAUAUAGAACAAGUCCCAGGGGCCUUUCUCCCGCUGGCAAAGAAGAGAAAGAGGAGAAACACUGUAGCAGCCCACGCCCCAUCCCCAGGCUCAGGCCCAAUCUCACUCUAAGAGUUUGGGGAGCCCCAGUCUCAGUGAGGAGGGGGCACACUUUAGGAUUGAAAGUUUCCAUGUCCCGGAUCAUCCAAGUCUAGCGUUCCUGUGAGUUUUGACUUGAGGUGAGGUCAGUACAGGCCGCAGGCGGGAAAUGUGCUCAAAUGCUGACUGCCUGGAAGGUCUUUUCCAUUUCGGAGUGUCGGCUGUGGGUCAGACCGUCUCAGGGAAUAAACUGUAAGUGGAGGUGAGUCUUUCCAUAUGUCUCGCAUGAAAAUUGAAAAUGACCCUUUAAUGUAGUCCAGAAUCCCCACGGAACAUUUUUAUUGUUUCAAAAGAGAAAAGGAAAAACGUAAACUAGGUCGAACGUCACGGGGUUUCUAAUCCAAAUGAACAAAGCAGGAGAACUCACCCCCAAAAUUAAGUCAAGAACCCAUCUCAGUGGGAAACAGGUGGGGCUGUGCGUCCAAGUGGACCUUUAAUAAGCACAAGCUGAUGAGGGUGGUGGUAGUAACAGGGAUUUUGAAACUGUUGAAUUGGAGGAGAGAGGCUGCCAAACUCCUGAGAGAUCCUUUAAAAUAAUUCUCAGUAUUUACUAUGGGAUUUGACACAUACAGUGCAAAACAGUUGGGGAAGAUAAUGAACAAGCCAUUCCCUCCCAGGACUGGCUCUACACACUCCACAGUGGAGUAGCUAACAGUGUUCCCUCGUGCCCUGUCCCUCAAUACAGCCCCUCCCACAGAUAAAUGAAAUUCCACUGUUAGAGAUUCUUUCCUUUGGAUUAAACAUUAUUAGUCAAUCAUGGGUAGAGAACAGAUUUCUUCCAGAUCUCCAGAAGACUAACAGUUCCAUUUUAUUUCCAUCCUAUUGUGGUGCUUCUGCAGGAGAGUAUGGAGGUAUAUUUAGUUUCAGAAUGCCUCAGAAUUCUAAAGUCAAAAGGAACCUUGGAAGCGAAGGAGGCCAAGUGUCUUCACCUGGGAGGGAGCUGAGGGCCAGAGAGGACAGAUGUGUGAGGCGGGCUUUGGCCCCUACCCCGUGGUCAGUCUCCCCUGAACCUUGGCAGAGGCGGUUUUCCAAAGCCUACACAUGGUUGCUUCUCUAGUCCACAGUCUUUCUAGGUUGACACGACAGUCCAGCCAAACACAAGGGCUUUGCGUUCCAGACAAGAAGUCGGUCCCACAGAGCUCCGCGAUCAAGGCAAGAAGCCAGCUCCCACUUCCUCCAUCUGGGAGCUGAAAAUGCUGCUUAUGUUCCUUGCAGAAAUCAAAGUGUGAACCCCCAUUCCCUACCACAACCCGUGGGAUGUAUAUGAACAGCCCCAGUGGGCAGCCAUAGCAACCAUUAGCUUAAAACCUGUUGAAACAGAGAAGUUGAAUUGGGAAGGAAAAGCAAAUCCCGUCCAGGCAUCCUGUUCUUGGGUGAAGAGAAGCAAAAGAGUUGAAGAAAACCUGAAGGUAAACCUCAGGGCAUCAUCCCACCUGGAUAGAGAGAUGAACCGGGCGCGGUGCUGUCAAGUCUUCUCCCUGGACCGCUGCUUCUGCCCACAUAACCAGCCUUCUUGGCAGAUUCCAGGGCUCUCCCUGCCAAAAGCCCUGAAGAAAUGAAGUCAGAAAACGAUCGUCAAACUCUGUGAUUCAGAGGUCACCCGCACAUCAUACCAAAACCAGCUAAAGCCACCCCAGAUCCAUAUCCAUGUCUCCCUUCUUCAGACCCAAAGGAGCCUGCAGCUUUCUUCAUUCACUUCUUAUCCUUAACAAGCCACCUGCAUAGGAAGUGCACGUGUAACCUGCAGGAUGGACCAAAGCACAAAGGGCCAUGCUGUAGAGGUUGCCUUUCAACACUUCAGCCAGAGCUGCCACAGAAAGUAGCAGUCACGGGGUUGUUAUAAUCUCUGUAUUAGUUUCUUAUUGCUGCUGUAACAAAUCACUCCAAACGUAGUUGCUUCAAACAACCCAAAUUUAUUAUCUCAAGUCACAAUUUCAGGUAGGCUCAAUUGGUUCUUCUGCUCCAAGUCUCCUGAGGCCAAAGUCAAGGUGUUGGCCAACUUGGGUUCUCAACUGGAGACCCAGGACGAAUCCACUCAGGCUCACUCAGUUGUUGGCAGAGUUCAGUCCCUUGCACCUAUCAGGCUGAGGUCCCCACCUCCCUACUGGCCAUCAGCUGGGGGCUGCUCUGCGCUCUUUAGGGCCAUCGGCACUUCCUGGCAUACUCCCCAGUGGACUGAAUCGGGCUCAAGUGUCCCUCGUGGGAGACACCAGGGGAUGAGCCACCACAAGCCGAGCAAGGCCCAUUUCCUGCCUUCAGGCAGCUCAGAUGGAGAGGGGAGCAGGUAAAGGCCACAGCUGGAGGAGGCACCCACAAAGGCAGAUGAAAAGAACAUGCAAUUCCCCUCUUUCAACAAAUCGAUUUAAUUUAAAGCACAAGCCCCCAUUCCCUUUCUUCCUAGCUGUCCUACUGUGUUUUUGUAGGGAAAGGAAGGAGAAGGCUUAUGAGACACAGACUCUGGGAAGAGGCAUCAUCUGCCUGUGCCGAGUCCCCUGGGAGAGUUCCACACCCAUGUCAGGCCCUGAGGCUUCCUGCUGCAUCAUUCUCACUCCUUCCCAAGGGCCUCUUUUGAGUUUGUAUUGGUUUUGAGUUCCUCCAAAAUCAGGUCGAUCGUUUAUUUGGAGGUGAUACCCACAGUAGUAGGGGAUACAGCAGUGAGACAGGGAAGGGAAAGAAGCUGCCACAGAGCGUGUUAUCACAGUACCCGGUGGGCAAGUGGCAUUCAGUCUUGCCAGGAACUCUGAGAAAGUGGAGAAUGAGUACAUGUGAGGGGCGAGAGAGCUGGGGUAUUGAUCCAUCGGCUCUAUCAGUGCUGACAUCAGGGCUGCUGUGGUCUCAUUUUCCAAGCACACUGGCCUACCAUUGUGCAUGGGCAGAGCAACCAGGGGAAUCCCUCUGGCAAGGAGACGCAGGGGCUGGCAGCUGGUAGACCAGCAGGCAAGGAGAAGGUGCAGUCCAAGAGCUACAGGGGCCAGGGAACACUGACCACUUCUGCUGCAACGCCUGUGUCUGUGUAUCCCGCAUCUGUCCGUGCCAGGCCAGGAGACUGGAAGCUCACUCUAUAAGACUAAGGCCCUUUCUGCCCAGACCCGUCCUGUAGCUGGUUUGCCACUAGACUCUCCCCUCAAGCUCAGAGGCCCUCUGCUCUCAGAUCCAACAAAGCUGCCUGGUUUCCCACCUACCACGGGGCAAGGGCACCACCCCUUCUCAAGGCUCCAUCAGUGUCUACACUCCCCAUCUUCUUCACCUCUCCCUCUGCCCUCCCCACAGCUGGUCUGAGGACCUGCCGUCUCACCUCAGGGAUGGGAAGAGGUCCUCUUCCACCAACACGCGGUGACCUGAAGCUAUCGAUUUUUUGCCAGGGACCUCCCCAUUCCCCACAGGGCUCGGGAAGUCACCCUGUUCACUCAUCACCCUGGUCAACAGCCGUCCUUCUCUUGCAAGGGUAAGCCUGGGAAGAGGGUACUACAACGAAAACCCUUUAAAGGAUUAUCUUAUCUUACAGACACACACUCCAGCAGCCAGAAUCCAAAGCAAAUAAAACAUGUGCCAUCCUGAAGUCCUUUCACAGGAGAGAGGAAUCCCACUGAGGCAAGCAAGGAAAGCAGUGUAAAAGAGGUGGGAACAUGUGCUGUGGGCCUGGAGAGACGAGUGGGCGUCCAGCCAGUGGAGGGGAGGUAUAAAUCAAGGCAGCUGCCUGGGAAGCCCAAACAGGGCAGGAGAGGAGGAGAUGGUCUGUGCACCCGAGAGUGUCAAGCCAAGGUUUUAACAAUGGAACAAAGAUGAAAACCCUCAAAAUAGCAAGAUGGCCUUUUCUUUCAUUCAUUCAAGGGAACACUCAGCACCUUCUUUGAGUCAGGUUCCAUGGUAAAGCACAGAGGUCAAAAAGAGGAAAGGAGAAAGUCCCAGGUCGCCAGUGGUUGUAGAGCUUGGAACAACCUCCAUAUACAGAGAACAUAAAGUCCUUUGACUCAGGACAAAAUGGAAGCUGAAAGUUCCUUAAAGAAAACAUGGAAAACAAGAAAAAAAAAGGAAUACGAAAUCGAAAGCAUUCAUCAUUCUGUCAGCUGAAGACGACCAGUGUUAACUUUAACGUGGCCCUGCACUGCUGCUGCUGCUGCUGCUAAGUCACUUCAGUCGUGUCUGACUCUGUGCAGCCCCAUAGAUGGCAGCCCACCAGGCUCCCCCGUCCCUGGGAUUCUCCAGGCAAGAACAUUGGAGUGGCUUGCCAUUUCCUUCUCCAAUGCAUGAAAGUGAAAAGUGGAAGUGAAGUCGCUCAGUCGUGUCCGACCCUCAGCGCCCCCAUGGACUGCAGCCCACCAGGCUCCUUGUCCACAGGGGGCCCUGCACUACUUUUGUCUUUAUGUAGCUUGUGCUCUGGCUUCACUAACCCAAAGCCCCAUGUCCCAGCGUGCUCUUCUGUGUGACACGUAUUUAUUUUGACUGCCCUGGGUCUUUGUGUGCCUGGGCUUUCCCUAGUCGCUGUGAGUAGGGUCUGCUCUCUAGCUGCGGUGCUUGGGCUUCUCCCUGCAGCGGCUUCAGCUGUUGCAGAGCAUGGGUUCGGUACUUGUGGCACACGGGCUUAGUUGCCUGGAGCAUGUGGGAUCUUCCCAGACCAGGGAUCGAACCCCUGUCCCGUGCAUUGGCAGGCGGAUCCUUAACCACUGGACGAACGGGGAAGUCCUCUUCUACAUGAUUUUGAAUGGCUUCAGGGUAUUCUUUCAUAGGAAUGAGCCACAAAAAUUCACUCGGUACAAGAUUCCUAGGUUUUCAGAACCGUAAGCUUUAUACACAUAUUCCUUAUGAUGAACCCAUAGCUGUAGAACUUCUGGAUCAAAGAGGGCCUAUGAGACCCAUCCAGCAUCCAUCUCCCAGAAUUUCACAUCACGUCUGAACCAAAAUCCUACUUUAGGGGCCCUGAGUGUUCAUCAUUGCAGAAAGAACUGGCUGCGACGCCGAGUGGUGCUCCUCAGAGUUAAGGGGUGCUUGGCCGAGCAUCACAACCAGAGGGAGCAGAGUGGCUCAGGACUGUUUUUGAUCAGUUCCUUACCUCCUGAGUGAUUUAGACUCGGAUGUCUCUGGAAGACAUGCCACAGGCCAUGUUUCAGGUCUGGUGCAUAUGUAGUCAAUAGAACAUCACCACAGGCUCAGAUUAGGAAGAAAGAAUAAUUUACUCAUCUUCAUUGCCCAAAUGCCACCACUUGCCAUGAUCAUUAUCAUCCCAACUUUGCUUUUCCUUCUUCCAUAUCCUGUCCUGUUUGUUCCCAUGGAUGCUUUGCCUUCUCCUGCACAUCUCAUUCAGUUGAGUUGGGUUCCUCUGGAUUCCUCAGAACAGAGUAAGAGGCAACUACAUUCAUCAGGUCUUUAGAAAAAUCCUGGCACCCAUCGGGAUCACAUGAGGUGUAAUCUGCAGGGUCAGUAGCUUCGGGAGGACUUGUAGACCAUCUUCUUUACAAGUGAAACAUAUUCCUUAUUAUCCCUUGAGUCGUUGGGUUCAUAGAGGGCGGAGCCAAAUCAAGCAAUGGUGAAAAGAUCUGUCGAGAUAAAGGUGCACAGCGGCAGUCAUUUAGGAGUUAAUUUUCUAAUGAGAAGGGGCAGACAUAACCUGCUUCAGGUGAAAAGGAGAAAUUAAAUUGUGUUUUUUUGAUCUUAGAGGCUGCCUAAUUGACACUCUCAUCAGUCACCAAUAAAAGGGAAGGCGUGGCAGAAGACUCGAGGAUGUCAGAAAGAAGCACAACCUGAGUAGAGGUGAGGCAGAGACCAGGGUUGCCCAAGGUCAUGGCAAGAGACGAGGUGGAGGGAGCCCUCCCUUUCUGACUGCUGGCUCAGUGGUCAGUCCACGCUGACCAAAAGAGGCUGCUUGUACUAUGCAAGUAAAAUAUGAACGCCCAGGUUGUUGGGGAGCAAGAAGACACUCCGAAUACGAGGUGGAAAGGGGGAGCCGGGAGCAGGAGAAACCGGACUUCCCUUUUAUGUGUUGCUUCAUGCCUCUGCUGGUGAACAGCAGGAGGAGAGAGAAAUGGCUGACUCCAAACCCACAGUUCCUGCCCUGGAGUGAAAUAAAAUACUCCGAGGCUGGUGUUUCAAUUGGUGCAAGAUUCUGAAGAGAGCCGAACACUCCCUCUUCCUUUUUGGGACAUGAAUUCCCCAGCUGAAAAAAUGCAUCACUUGGCCUUACCUGCCCUACUCCAUCACCACCUCCUUCUCAGGGAUGUCGUGACAAAGAGGUGACGGUAUCCCAUGGCUUGGAUGCUGCCUCCGCCAGAUGACACCUGACACGGGGGCAAGGUUCUUCUCAACACAGAUAGACACGUACUCACCCCGCAGCUGGAAAUUUUCCCAACAGCGCCCAUUUGGAAAUUCCAUUGUCAGUUAUAAAACAGACCUCCCCCGAGGUUGAGAGGAGGAGGGAAAGGCAGAGAUGAGUCUGAAAAUCCAAAGGACUGUAUGGUCUAAGAAUGAAAUGUUUUCUAAAUCAAAUUAAGCUACACGGUGAAAAUUGAGGAGAAAGUCCUUAAGGUGACUUUUAAAUGAAAAUGAAAUGUCUGCUAGUAAGCUACAGAGGUGUAUUGGUACCGAGUGGCAGCCUUGUAUCUCAUUAAUUUCAAACAUAGAUUUUUAUGUGAGGCUAUUUGAUUAUAAUUUGAUUAUCUGACCCUGUAAUUAAAGUUUAUUGCCAAUUUGGAAGCUUACAUGUAAAAUGAACUGGUUUUCUUCAAAGCAAUAUACAAUCCUUCGGACUCAUUGACUUCUGGUUUUGCAUUUAAAUGGAAAAGUCAGUUAUAACGUGACAAACAGGUUGGGGUUUUGAUCAUUAAUCCUGCUAAAGCAAUAUUCAUAAAUUCAAUUCUGAAUCAGUUGGAAUACUUUUCUUUUAUUAGUUUCUGUGUUAUUAAAUGAGAUUGUUUCUGACUAAUAUAUUUCUGGACUCAAACUGUAGCUCCAAGCUGUUAUUCAAAUCAAAUAACAUGCCCCUUACUUGUGCCUCGCACUAAUAAAUGCCAACUUGUGAUACAUUUGCAAGAGACUGUCAGCAAUAUUAAAGGAGGCAAUAACGCCAUGGAGGUCUCCAAGUGAGCUGAUUUUUCUAAGGGCUGAUAUCCGUCAUUUUUCUUUAAAAAAAAAAAAAAAAAAAAAACCCAGAUACUCAGAUCUUUUAGUCUUAAAGCCAAAAGCCUGAUUUGAGUCAUAGAAAUAUUGUAUAAUUCUCUAACACCUGAAUAGCCAAGACAUUGGAAUUAGAAAUUUCAUAACUUUGAGGUCCUACAUAAGAGGUAGGAAGCUGAUUUCAGACAGAGCAGAAUCAAAGUUACAUUUUGGGGAAAAAGUGCCACUUAGAAACAGAUGGGUUUUUUUUUUUUUUUUUAAUAAUACUUAGGUGAGGAGAGGCUACACUGCCUCUUUUUUAAAUUGAGAUAUUGCUAUUUUUAUUUUUUUGGCAGAGCUACAAAACAUAUGAAAUCUUCAUUCCCCCACCAGGGGUUGAUCCCAUGCCCCCUGCAGUGGACGUGCAGAGUCCCAACCACUGGACCUCCAGGGAAGUCCCUACAUUGCUUUAGAAAUUAGAAAAACUAUUCACAAAUCUUCACUGUGUUCUUGGAGCAAAAAGAGGUCUUGGAGGCUGCUUUUUCUGGCCCCAUAUUACAGAUGAGGAAACGGAGGCCCAAAGAGAAGCCACCUCAGUUACACAGCGAGUUGCUGGCAAAUUCUAAAUGCAAACACUCCCUGUAACUUUUCUCAACAUUUUCCCCACCAUCCGGCCAUCGAAAGGCUCAUAAAUAUUUGUGGAAACUUCACAGGGGCUGGAAUCGGCGGCCCAGCCACCAGCUGGCUGUUUGACCUCCAACCCAUCACCAGGAGUCUCAGCCUUCAGAUAUAGCUCCUUUCACCCUGUUUCUGAAAAGAGAUGAGACCAGAUAGAUAAACUCCAAAGGUCAGGGGACUUACAAUAGCUCACCUCUUACAGUUCAAAUGCUUUGAGAUGUGCAUACAAUGAACAGUGCAUAUUUAAAGCAUACUGUAAUAGCUUUCCUAAAUAAUCAUAAGAGCAUUGAACUUCACAUUGUUUGGGGUGAUUUUCCCUCAUUCAUCUUUUUGAACCUCCAGAGUGAGCAGGCUCUUCUCUUCCUCUCUCAUGAGGUCCCACACAUUGGCUUUGUGACUGUAGUUUGCACGUUUUCCAGCCAGUGUUCCCCUGGUGGAUUCAGGGUGGGUGUUGCUAGGUUUCCACCUUAUCACACAGUCAUGGGG